UCGCGCGUCUCAUAGCCCGCCCUUUCAUUGUCCUUUGUUAUUUACAAAUCGAAUUCUUUUGUGACCUACAAAUCGAGCCAUUAAGAUUUGGAAGAGAAACGGGCAAUAUGAAAGAUAACAUAGAAGAGAAAGAUAACACAAGAGCUAAUAAGAAAAUUUAUAAAAGAUAUUAAAUAAAAUUUAAACAGUGUGAACAAUAAACGUAAAAUGUCGUUUCUUUAUUCACAGAGAAACUUAUUUUCGUUUAUCACCACACCUUAUCUAUUCGAGAUAUUAUAAAACGACAAUUUUUGGUUUAUAAUGUAAAGAAAACUACAAUUCGCAUUUAAAUUCUGUCGAGCGACAGAAAAACAUACGAGAUUGCUAUAAUCUCCAUCACAACUGAGGACAAAGAAAGAUAUACGAUGUUAGAAAAUGAAAAAUUUGUAAGUAAUCACAGCGAACUAAUGAAAACAGAAAACUAUAAGAGAAUAAAAAAAAGCUUCAAUCAAAGAGCAAAAUGCAAACCUGGUGAAAUAGUGGCGCUGUUGUUAAUAAACGUCUAAGGUUAAGUUGGCUUAACAUUAUAUUUAAUGCUUAUUUAAAAAAUAGAUUGAUAGAUGCGUUUGAUUCUAUAAUUUUUUCAAGUGAUGUGCUUUCGUUGUAUAUAACAAAAAUGUUGAGUUAAUACUAAUUUGCGUAACCUCUACUAUCUACAUGUAUAUCAUAAAAUGACAUUUUACUCAUAAUAUGUUUGUUGGGAAUUUAUUCGAUAUCAACAACACACUAUUUUUCUAUUAACUCCAAGGGAAUCAUUUUUAAUUAAUCCAACCAAAGGAAAGAGUAAUGUCGUCGUUGAAUUUGAAAGAGAUUUCAACCCCACGUUUAGGUUAUCUAUUAAAUAAGAAUUACAAGAAGCAAAAGAUUCUAUCAAGCAUUUACAAAAUGAAAAGUUGGUUGAAGGACAUUAUGAACAGGUCCAGUUAAUAUAUUGAAGGUAAAAAUGAAAGAAGCAAUUAAAUGCGAAGCAAUUAAACCAAGUAAUAAGGCAACAAAAAAUAGUGAUAGGCCGUAAUCGCAAUGGAAAUACUUUUUGGAAUAUUUAUAUUCACAGUUAUUGAUUUCUUUGUUAAGUACUCUGAUCAUAGCAAUGUUAAAUAUUUGGAUCCCAAGAAGGCACGAUAAUACAUAAAUGUAUUGACAAAAAUAGUAUAAAGUAAUGGAAAUGUUUCUACAAAGAAUAUUUUGGGAAUGCUUCUGUGACCAUUAUUUGUGUUGGCACACAUAUAUAUUGCACAAUACUUAAAUAUGCUACCAUUGCCAAUGGGAUGGGAGGAGGAAAGACAAUAAUACAUUAGGAAGACUCUUGAAAGAACUGAAGAAAGCAUUAUCCACAGUCAAGGACGUGAAUUAUAUAGAAAACGAAUUAAAAGAGAAAAUCCAAAACGAUAAAGGAUCGAGGAAUAAUCUUAACAACAAAAUCAUGGAGAAAGAACAAUGAGUUAAAGGAUCAUUCACAAGAGAUUUUUCAUCAGAGGUAGCUCCUCAUUUUGUGUUGCUAAAAAAAUAGAAAAUUUUCAAUAUUUAGAAGAUCAUAUUAUCGAACAUGAAUUGCACAAGUAAAAAUUAAUACGCAAAAAUUACAUGAGCAUAAUGUAAUCAUUUGAUGCAUAAUACUUUGAAAAUGAGGUAGAAGAAUACUGUGAAUUUCACAGUCAUUUUGAAAAGACGUUGAAAAGGAACCACCUGAGGAAAACAAAAUAUGGAAAUGGAAUAAAGGAUUCAGAUCCAGAAUAAUCUGGAUUUAGACCAUCGAAGAAAAGAGCCUUCAACAAUACGGAAUAAGCAACAAGGAUGUUACACAAACGCGAGCCUCUUGUGAAAGUCAAAUUUAGCAGCAACAAAUGAUACGUCAGCUUACAGACUGCAACAGAGUAUUCUAAGAUAUACACAUCAAUGAAGAAGUAAGAAGUAACGUUUUAUAUCAAAAGACGAGUUCGGAAUUGCGACAAAUAGAAACACUGAAUAAAAUAAGCACCAAAUCACACAUUUCAGAUAAUCGAAAGGAUGAAACUAUUACAUAUAUGUAAUCUAAUAUUUGAUCACCGCUUUGAUGAAAUAAUGAUUGAACGCCGAACGGUACCAUAAAAAAGGAUAUUAAUCAGCAACAGCAUAGUAAUAACACAAACACAUUCUGGUCAAAAUUACUUGUCAGGUGAUUGAUUUUUAAACGUAACGUGAAUGAAUGAAGAUACAAAGUUUUUUUUUUCGUAAUUAUAAUAUUGUUUUAUAUGUAGAUAAGUAUCAACUGGAACGAUAGAGAUCAAGAUCCUCGAUCUUUUUCCUCACAAAAUGAAUUUAUUUUAUUGCGGCAUAUCAAAGUAAUGAGAUCUUUAAUACCAUUUUCUUGUUGUCUUCAUUCUAUCCAAAUUGUUUAGCAUAUUUCGUUUAUAACAUUCUUUUAUUGAAUAUCAUCAUACUGAAAACCUUUAUCAUUAUCUUAUAUCGUUAAUUCACUCAUUAUAAAAUAAAUAUUUUCGAAAAGAAAUUCAUAUGAAUGAAUUGUAAGAACGAAUUGAAAUUUUUUAAAUCUCAACAUAUUUUCUUUCUCUCUUUCUCUCUCACUUUCUCUCUCUUUCCGUUUUUCUCAAUUAUCAUUGUACUAAAUAUCAAUAUCUCGAUUUUUACAUCAAUCAAUAUAAAAUUCAUUAGAAAAUCAAUUAAUUAUAAAACUUUGUUUGGAAACAAACUUAUAUAAAAAAAAAUAAAAGAGAGAGAGAGAGAGAGCGAGAAUAUAAAUAAAUAGUAAAAAUAAAUAUUUAAAUCGUUCCUGUCUCCUCCCUUCCAAACUUCUUUCUUAUCCAUCCAUUUGACAACUAAUAAAUAUUUAGUUGAACGGGAAGA